GGGAGGGGGACAGAGUAGCUGGAAAAAGAAAUGGAUCAGCAGUAACUAUACAUAUCUGUAAAGCUGAGGAUGAUGCGGGGAAAAAGAAAGACAAUCAGCCACCUCUGAGUCUGCGAACGGGUUAACGAGUUCUUAUCCUAAAUCUUAUCAGCUGUGUGACUGUGGGUAAACAGUGGCUCUGUGACCUCAGACGCUCAUGGGAAGAUGAUUGCAAUCAGAUUUUAGCAGGAGAGAUUUUCGGAACUCCCAGCCUUGUUAAUUUUCCCAUAAAUUCCUGUGUGGAUCUGUCAGCGAUCCUGUCAGCCAGAGUGUGAAGAGGGGACCUCUGGAGUUCUCACAUCACGUCAACACCUGAGCUUUGAUCCUUUUAACUCUCCUGAUGAAGCUCUUUUAUCUGGAAUGUGUGAAAAUUCUCAAUGCAUUCCACCACAUCCAUUAUCCUAUCAUGGCAUAGCUGAAAUUAUACUUUAAUAUUCAGUGAAUCAAACUGCUUAAGGUCACUAUUUUAAAAAGAUUGAACUACUGUACAAGCUACUAUUCCUUUUUACGGGGGUCCACUUUCUUUUGCUCUGUCCACUCAGUACUGAUACACAAAAGGUUAAGCACAUUAAGGUAAAAUCCGCAACUGCAAAAUUUGUGGAAGAAAGAAAGUCUGGGAAGAAGAGGGUAGACCCCCGAAAAACUUCUGAAAAUGCACCCGUUAAAAGAAGAAGCUUUCAGAGGACUACCUUCCUCUUCAUCUUUUCUCCACAGAUUUUUUCUCAAUAUACUGAACCUUUGUGUACCAGUACUGUCUGGACCGAGAAAAAAAGUAAUACCCCAAAUAGUUGGACCUGAAAAUUUAAACGUUAAAGCAAGUAAAAAAAAGUAUUAUGGACAGUACUCAAUUGUGGUGGUGUUCUUAUAUGUUUAAAAUUAUAUUUUUAUUGUGAGGUCUAUAAAACCGAUAUGCAUUUC